GGUGGUGUAGCUCAAAUGGUAGAGCGCUUCCCUUGAGAUGAAGACCUAAGGGAUAGCGCCCAAGCCCAGAGUUCAAGCUCCACGACCG
rnacentral:tRNA from 1 species